AAAUUAUCUCUAUAUGGUAAUGUGCACUAAAAUUAAUUGGGUCUCUACGCCUACUCUCUCUGAUGCCUUUUGGUUUUGAUUUGGGGGCAUGGUUCCGCCGCAAAACG